rnacentral:rRNA from 1 species
UACGAAGGGGGCGAGCGUUGUUCGGAUUUACUGGGCGUAAAGCGCACGCAGGCGGUCCAAUCAGUCUGUAGGGACAGGGCACAGCUUAACUGUGUCAGGCUUACGGAAACUGUUGGACUUGAGGGCUUCAGAGGGAUGGGGAAUUCCGGGUGGAGUGGUGAAAUGCGUAGAGAUCCGGAAGAACACCAAAGGCGAAGGCACCAUCCUGGGGAGUCACUGACGCUCGGGUGCGAAAGCUAGGGGAGCGAACGGG